GUUGGAGACCUAAAUACCCUUAAGGUACCAGGUCUCAUCUGAUCUUGGAAGCUAAGCAGGGUCAGACCUGAUUAGUACUUGGGAGACUGCCAAAAAUAUCAGGUGCUAUAGGGU
rnacentral:rRNA from 1 species